GCGCAGCAGUCGCGAAACCUUCGCAAUGCGGGAAACCGCGACGAGGGACUCCCAGUGCCUACGCUCAGCGUAGGCUGUUCCCGAGCCUAGAAAGCUCGGGGAGUAAGGGCUGGGUAAGACGGGUGCCAGCCGCCGCGGUAAUACCCGCAGCCCGAGUGGUGGCCACUAUUAUUGGGCCUAAAGCGUCCGUAGCCGGCCCGGUAAAUGCCUGGGUAAAUCGUGAGGCCUAACCUCACGAAUUCCGGGUAGACUGCCGGGCUAGGGGA
rnacentral:rRNA from 1 species